rnacentral:tRNA from 1 species
CGGGAUGUGGCUCAGUUUGGCUAGAGCGCUACGUUCGGGACGUAGAGGCCGGCGGUUCAAAUCCGCCCAUCCCGA